rnacentral:rRNA from 1 species
AUGACUGAUUAGCCGGUUGGUGAGGUAACGGCUCACCAAAGCAACGAUCAGUAGCUGGUCUGAGAGGAAGGUCCCCCACAUUGGAACUGAGACACGGUCCAAACUCCUACGGGAGGCAGCAGUGAGGAAUAUUGGUCAAUGGCCGGAAGGCUGAACCAGCCAAGUCGCGUGAGGGAAGACUGCCCUAUGGGUUGUAAACCUCUUUUAUUCGGGAAGAAUAAGUUUCACGCGUGGAACGAUGCCUGUACCGAAUGAAUAAGCAUCGGCUAACUCCGUGCCAGCAGCCGCGGUAAUACGGAGGAUGCGAGCGUUAUCCGGAUUUAUUGGGUUUAAAGGGUGCGUAGGCGGUUGAUUAAGUUAGUGGUAAAAUGUCAUGGCUAAACCUUGGCCAGCCAUUAAUACUGGUCAGCUUGAGUACAGACGAGGUAGGCGGAAUAAGUUAAGUAGCGGUGAAAUGCUUAGAUAUAACUUAGAACUCCGAUAGCGAAGGCAGCUUACCAGACUGUGACUGACGCUGAAGCACGAGAGCGUGGGUAGCGAACAGG